GGUUUAGAACGUCGUGAGACAGUUCGGUCCCUAUCUACUAUUUGAAUUGAAAACUAAGGUUGUUAUUCUUCCUAGUACGAGAGGACUGGGGGGAUAUUAUCUCUGGUUGCACAGCUGUUGUUGU
rnacentral:rRNA from 1 species